UUACGGCCACAUCCCGCUGAAACACUGGUUCUCGUACGAUCACUGUAGUUAAUCAACGUUGAGCCUGGUCAGUACCUAAGUGGGUGACCGUUUGGGAAUGCCGGGUGGCGUAA